rnacentral:rRNA from 1 species
GUGGGGAAUCUUGCGCAAUGGGCGAAAGCCUGACGCAGCCAUGCCGCGUGAAUGAUGAAGGUCUUAGGAUUGUAAAAUUCUUUCACCGGGGACGAUAAUGACGGUACCCGGAGAAGAAGCCCCGGCUAACUUCGUGCCAGCAGCCGCGGUAAUACGAAGGGGGCUAGCGUUGCUCGGAAUUACUGGGCGUAAAGGGCGCGUAGGCGGACAGGUUAGUCAGAGGUGAAAGCCCAGGGAUCAACCUUGGAAUUGCCUUUGAUACUUGCUGUCUUGAGUACGGGAGAGGUGAGUGGAACUCCGAGUGUAGAGGUGAAAUUCGUAGAUAUUCGGAAGAACACCAGUGGCGAAGGCGACUCACUGGCCCGUUACUGACGCUGAGGCGCGAAAGCGUGGGGAGCAAACAGGAUUAGAAACCCCUGUAGUCC